UAUGUCCAUAUCACGUUGAAACACCAGGUCCUGUAUGAUCACAGAAGUUAAGCAAUGUCGAGCCUGGACAGUAACUAGAUGGGUGGUCAUUUGGGAAUAUCAGGUUCUGUAAG